CCACCAUGGAUCCCCAGGAAUAGGAUCUGGCUCACAUGUUCCUGCUAGAGUAAAGUUGGCUGUGGGAGCAGCAGGAGGUUUCAGUUGGUGAUGCCAAGCGAAAGACAGAGGGUAAGGUGAAGACAUUUCCUGACAAACAGCACGGUGCUUCUGCAACCAAAGCAAGCCCCCAGGCUCAGCUAGCUCAGGAACCUCAUCCCAGAGCCAGCAGCCAAGUGUGGUUGGAGGUCCAGGCACCAGCUGCCCAGGUGGACAUCUGUAGGGACACACAGACCCCUCCCCAACAGCCUGCCUCCCUGAUGGUGCUACCGGUGUAAGUGGAGGCACCUCUGUGUCUGUCAGGGGGUCUAAACCUGGCAUCUACAAUGCAUCACCUGGUGGUGGACACAUAUGAAGCCAUCAGCAAAUUCCCUAGGAAGACUGAGCAGGAUGUGGAAACCAACAGGUGUCAGUCUGGAGCACAUGGCAGAGAAGGGUUAGCUUGCUCAUGAGCUGUUACUUGGUCCUAAGCUGGACACAUUUCCUCCCCGUGCCUGAGGCCUGAAUAGUGGGACCGGAGCCAGCCUGAAGAGGGGAAAGAGGUUUUCAGACCAUAAAAGUGCCUGGGACUGGCCUGAUGCCAUCUCUUUGUCUCAAUUUAAGGAGUAAUUCUCAUUUAUUAAAACGAUAUUCAAAGAGGGAAAUGUCUUAUAAUUAGAACCAAGCAUUGCACUCUGACCAUGAAUAAAAACCACAGGAAAG
rnacentral:lncRNA from 1 species